GAUGAACGCUGGCGGCGUGCCUAACACAUGCAAGUCGAGCGAACGGACGAGAAGCUUGCUUUUCUGAUGUUAGCGGCGGACGGGUGAGUAACACGUGGAUAACCUACCUAUAAGACUGGGAUAACAUCGGGAAACCGGAGCUAAUACCGGAUAAUAUUUUGAACCGCAUGGUUCAAAAGUGAAAGACGGUCUUGCUGUCACUUAUAGAUGGAUCCGCGCUGCAUUAGCUAGUUGGUAAGGUAACGGCUUACCAAGGCAACGAUGCAUAGCCGACCUGAGAGGGUGAUCGGCCACACUGGAACUGAGACACGGUCCAGACUCCUACGGGAGGCAGCAGUAGGGAAUCUUCCGCAAUGGGCGAAAGCCUGACGGAGCAACGCCGCGUGAGUGAUGAAGGUCUUCGGAUCGUAAAACUCUGUUAUUAGGGAAGAACAUAUGUGUAAGUAACUAUGCACAUCUUGACGGUACCUAAUCAGGAAGCCACGGCUAACUACGUG
rnacentral:rRNA from 1 species